CGUAGGGGGCAAGCGUUGUCCGGAUUUAUUGGGCGUAAAGAGCGUGUAGGCGGCCAGACAGGUCCGUUGUGAAAACUAGAGGCUUAACCUCUAGACGUCGAUGGAAACCGUCUGGCCAGAGUCCGGAAGAGGAGAAUGGAAUUCCUGGUGUAGCGGUGAAAUGCGCAGAUAUCAGGAAGAACACCCGUGGCUAAGGCGGUUCUCUAGUACGGUACUGACGCUGAGACGCGAAAGCGUGGGGAGCGAACAGGAUUAGAUACCCUGGUAGUCCACGCCGUAAACGAUGGGUGCUAGGUGUGGGGGGUGUCGACUCCCUCCGUGCCGAAGCUAACGCAUUAAGCACCCCGCCUGGGGAGUACGGCCGCAAGGCUA
rnacentral:rRNA from 1 species